CAAAUGUAAUAAAAAUUAUUGUUCGCGAAUAUUCAAUUUGGAAUGCGAUUUUGUUAAUAAAAAAAAUACUUAUAACUUAUGCAAAACCCAAGAGAGGCAUUUAUAUUUAUUUCUUUUGCGUUCAUUUUCAAAUUCGCCGUGCAUAUAUUUUUGUGCAUGGCGCUUGAGAGGGCAUCACGUGACUAAAAACGACCAACCAACGACCUCGCUUCGGCCAUCUUGGCAUCUUCAUCUUGGCCACCUUGCUUUGCCGUGGGUGGAUCGUUUGUAUUAUUUGUGCUUUUUAAGAAUAUUUUUUUAAUUCGGAUACUUUUAUAAUAGCUUUAAUAGUAUUAUUAACAUAGUGAAUAAAAUGGUGUCCUGUUUUUAACGCAGUUGGAGUAGCAGAAACAAAUGUAGAUAAAAAAAUCUGCAGGAAUAACGUUUCAAUUAAGACAGAAGCUCCAAACAAAUGACUGUGAAUGAAAAGCCCUAUUAAAAGCUUUCCAGAAGAUCCUGCGAAGAAGACAUGAAGUAUAGAUCAGAUUUGUUAAUAGAGGAGUAUGUUCAAAACACUUUUUAGAAAAAGAUAUUGACAGAACUUCACUUUCAUCUGUUCGUUUAAGAGACUGUGCUGUUCCAAUAGCUUAUGUCACACAGAAUCAGCUGAGAGAAGUGGUCUACAAAAAACCAGAAAGGAAACGGAAUAUGUGGCUACGAAAAGCAAAAGAAAGGUUUACAAAGCAAAUGUGACACAUUUUUUUAUAAUAUUUAGGAAUGUCAGUAAAUUACAUUAAAAAAUGUAU